CUCGACUGCAUGAAGCCGGAAUCGCUAGUAAUCGCGGAUCAGAAUGCCGCGGUGAAUACGUUCCCGGGUCUUGUACACACCGCCCGUCACACCAUGGGAGUCGGAAAUGCCCGAAGCCGGUGGCCUAACCGAUAAGGGAGGAGCCGUCGAAGGCAGGUCUGAUGACUGGGGUGAAGUCGUAACAAGGUAGC
rnacentral:rRNA from 1 species